rnacentral:rRNA from 1 species
CAGCCGCCGCGGUAAUACGGAGGGUGCAAGCGUUAAUCGGAAUUACUGGGCGUAAAGCGUGCGUAGGCGGUUCGUUAAGUCUGUUGUGAAAUCCCCGGGCUUAACCUGGGAACUGCAUUUGUGACUGGCGAGCUAGAGUAUGGCAGAGGGGGGUAGAAUUCCACGUGUAGCAGUGAAAUGCGUAGAGAUGUGGAGGAAUACCGAUGGCGAAGGCAGCCCCCUGGGCCAAUACUGACGCUCAUGCACGAAAGCGUGGGGAGCAAACAGGAUUAGAUACCCCCGUAGUCCCUGUCUCUUAUAC